GUUUAAAUCUCGCGUGAACUUUGCCAGCCAAUGGUAGCACACAUGCAGCAGUUUUGAGAGAGUAAGUGGGAGACGCUGCCUGGAAAAGAUCACCGGUAACAGUGGCUUAAACUGAGUUAGACAAAACUGAACAAAACAGCUAAAACUGCUGCUUAAACAACCGAAACUAGGAGGACUGCUCAAACCUGAACGCGGAUAACUUCAGACUAUAUACAACGCGAAAUGGUGAGUGUGACAUUGCCCACCUGUUUAUCAUCAUCACUGAUCGACGGCAUGGCAUUUAAGUGUUUAAGGCAGUGGUUCUGAACUGGUGGGUCCCGACCCAAAAGUGGGUCACGGCCACGUUGAGGAUGGGUCGCGAACAGCUGGUCAAAAGAGUAAAUGUUUAAUGCGCAUCUGAUGUUUGACAUGUCUUUUAUUUUGAAAAAUGGCUUAUUUUGAAAGGCACGCCUUUUGUUGUGGUCCUACUUGCUUUACUUAUUAAUGUUGCCUGAAUGCAGUAAAAAUACAUGUUUGUUUUGUCUCUAUUUUUUGCAAUAUGAUAUUUAUUAAGAUUUAAGUCUUUAAAGUUUAUUUUUUGCUAAAAAAAAUAAAUUUGCUUGGUUUAAAUUUUAUAAAAGUGGGUUGCAACUUAAGGACCAUGGGAAAAUGUGGGUCCCAGAGUGAGACCAGUUGAGAACCAUUGGUUUAAGGUAAAGUGAUUUUGUUAAAACGGUGCAUUUGUGCAGACAUUUACAUUUACCAUGUUACCCAAGCCAGGUUUUUCCCCCGGGGUUUUGAUGCUCGAUGGCGAGCUAACCCUGGAUUCACCUCCAACAGUCGAAAUUCCCCUCACCCAUAGUCAUCAUCAUCAUCAUCACCAUCACCAUCACUAUCAUCUCCCCCUCACUCGUGGUCUUACCGGGCUGGUAGGACCAACUUAACUUUUUUUUCCCUCUUUGUUGUGGAUUAUACCAACUUUAGUAACGACUGCAGAUGGCAAUACACAGCGGUCUUUGGAACCACACACAAACCUCAACCAAAAAACCACUCUAUAGCCACAAGUAAUGCUCAGAACAGCACCUAACUUCAUCAAUAGUACAUAUAGGGUCCCAGCCAUAGUCUUAGCCACCAAACAUCUUUUUAAAUUUGCCUAAUUUCUUUAGCAAAGAGACUAAACAUAACUCACCUACUCUCUUCCAGCAGCCGCUUGUUUGUAGGGAGACCUCGGGCCAGUCCAUUGCGGACUGCAGCGGGGCGACGCAGCUUAAGGAAGAACAUUUAUGAUCAUUUCAUCAUGGAAAUGCAAUCAGACCAAGAUGCUAAGGCAGAAGAACUACCGCGUCUGCAGUGCAAACUGAUAACUAUGGUGAUUAUUACUUAAAGGAAAUGAUAAUGGACUGGCCUGAGGUCUCGCUACAAACAAGCGGCUGCUGGAAGACAGUAGGUGAGUCGUGUUUAGUGUCUUUGCUAUCUUGCGGUCCUUCAUGUUGGUAUAACUAGAGAAGCAAGCAGUCGGCAGCAUUCAUCUCUCGAGGAGGAUGUCUAACUCGGUGUUAUGGUUUGUUAGACCCUAAAACAAUUUUAUGCCGGAAUAUCACUUUAACUUGUGCUACAACAAAGUCUGGCAUCAAAGCUGUGAAUCUUACAGAUAAACCUUACAUGCAGAAAUCAAAGAGUAGUGACACAGUGUAAGUUGGAAGUAGCUUUGAUGCCACCACUCCCCUUCAGGGAGCAAUGGCAUCAACAAAGCAGAGGCAGAGACUGGAUGUCUCACAUCUGGGCACCUAACUGGAAGGAUAGUUUGUCAUGUGAUUGUACGGUGGCAAAUGUGACAUUAAUGCAUCUUAAGUUGUCUUCCUGCACAAGCUAACAGGCUUUUUUCCGUUUAAAAUAAUUUAUGUUUAAUGAUGCACUGAAAACACAUUUCGCCCCCCAUCAGGUAUCGCUCAUUUGGCUCAUAUAGAGAAAGAGAUAACCACGAUGGAUGUCCAUGUGUGAAGAAGACUUAAUAUCGAUUAUCUCAGUAUCAUUCGUGCACACACAAAAAGAGUUUUCGUAACAUUAAAAAUUUUCCUUCAUUCAAAUUUUCUCAUGAUUAGAGAUUUAUAAUCUGACCCAGACAAGGUCACUGCCGGCAAAGACGCCAUUAUGCAAGUUUCUGAGAUAAAAGUGAAGAUAAAUUCUGGGUCCAUCAACAGAAACAGUCCAAAUAUUAAAACGAAGAAAUUAAAGAUACUUCUUGUUUUAUAGCACUUCAAUUCACUUUCUUCAUCUGGUGUCUUGAAAGCUCCUGUGAGUAACUUUCAGCUUCUGUCAAUUGUGGACAAAGCAGACAUUGCUUAUCUUUUCCUCUUUGUGCUUGAGUAGGAACUUCUCAUCCUGCUGACGUUGCAGUAAAAUAUGGCAUUAAUUGUGGUUUUUUAAUUUUUAUUUUUUGUGGAAAGUGUCUAAAAAAAGAGCUGUUUCUAUAGCUGCUAAGCUGACACCUAACCCCUCACACCGGUCUAUUUCAUAGAUGUUAAAAAACUCCUCACAGGAGCUCUAUAAAAUACCGCUAUAGAUAUGAAAAAGUCAUCAGGGGUGUCACUUUCAGAGUGAACUUUUUCCUGCAGGAACAUAUCCAUCUAGCCAGGUGUGUGUGUCAUAUAUCAUGGAUAUCAUAUGUAUUCUUCCUGAGGGAGCUGAGCAGAUACAGUCAGUAGAUACAGUCAUCCAUCCAUCUACACUAUUUCCUCAUAUUCUCCAUCAGUGACUUUCAUUUCCUCUAUGAUGGCCGCAGGAUGUGAGGGGCAGAAGAGAAUGCAGGAAGGAGAGAAUGACCCAAGUCUGAUUGGUUAUCUAUCUAAUGGCUGCUUUAGUGGACUGCCUGAACCGCCUCUGGACGCGCACAAAGAGUGAAAUGGAGAAGACAAGAGGGGGGUUUCUGACCGGAGUCGUCUCUAAGUAAUGCAUUUACUCUGAAUGAUCCAAAGUGUGGCGCUCUCUGUAAUAAGAAUAAACAAAUAGCCCCAGUGCAUUUGCUUUAUUGUCUUACAUCAAUGAUGAUUUAUUUGCUUCCAUGGUGGGCUAUUGUAUGCAGAUUGCUUGAUGCCCCUGCGGUGAACCUCUCGUCUAAUCCUUUCACAGAGUGACUCGCCGUAGGAGAGGAGUGGGCUCCCAGGAGAAAUGAGGGAGGGUUCAAACAGUCAAGAGGAGCACGACGCCAAGCAGAGAAACAAUCCUGAAACUUUACACUGGCUCUUUCCACCUGUUCGCCACGCCAACAGAAGCUAUUUGAUUCACACAGAGAUUUCUAUAGAAGCAUAGUUUGGAUGGCGGCGGCAGGAUGAGUGUUAUUACGAUACAAUGAGAGUCAUUUCAGUGAGACAUAAAAGUGACAAAAAGCUAAGAGUGGAGGCGAUAAUGUUUCCUCGUGGGUCAGUGAGACCCCACCCCAGAGACGACAGCUGCAGCUGACCGCAUUACAGCUGGCAUGGGACAGAGAUAAAGGAGUGAAGCUCUGGGCCCAUAGUACCGCCUGAAAUCAGAUUUAGAUUCCAUUCUUACAUCCAAAUCAUAUUAUGCUGCACAGCUAUUCACAGAGUAGCUAUCUAUCACACACACCGUCAACAUGAUCCAACCAUCUGUCAGUGCUUACCUACACACUGCUUCAAGAUACGGCCCGGAUGGAGCCUCUGUAUUACCUUUUGCUUUGACAUCCUCUCUGCUGUGAGCAUGCUCUGCCUCCAAAAACAGAUGCAGAGCUCUCAAUUGUUGCAUCAACACAUUCAACUUUAUUAACAAUGAGGAUGAACAGAGGCAUUUUUGCAUCUUUGGAUGAAAUCUUCAGAUUUCAUUAUGUACAUCUGCAAGAGAAAUAAACAACCCAUAUCCAGACAAUUUAUUUCCCAUUAAAUGCUCGCAGAAAAAUGGACUGUCAUGUUUGAUUUAUGAGAUCUUGGU
rnacentral:lncRNA from 1 species